ACAAUAGUUUUCUUUCAAAUAGACUUCUAUUGUCAUCGUGUUUCUGGGCACCAUACUACAUGUUUAAACUCAAUGGUAACAGAUUAAACAGCUUUGUUACUAACUUGUAUUUUAGUAUAAAGGAAUCGUGAUAUUAAUACGUGCUACAGAAAUUAAAUUCUUUCUGUUGCUAUACACAGCAAAAUUUUAGUGUCUUUUGUUUAGUAUAUAAAGUAGCUUAUGUGUGAUCUAACUCAUCAGUUUUAAGUAAACUUGUGCCCGAAAACAUGUGUAAAAUUUUCUACAUUGUUGCAGCCUUCUUGUUUAGUACAACGUUGGCUGGCCCAGUUGCCAUCACUCCAUGUGGUGACAACAACGGUAUAACAGUUUCAGUCGACGUGGACUUAUGCUCUGGUACAACUAAUCCUUGCGAACUUCAGAUAGGUGCUUCCGUUACAAUAGUAGUUUCAGUGAACAUACCCGCACCGCAGAGUUAUAAUUUAAUUUACGCUUUUGUGACCGUUAAUGGUGCUACAUUGUUUGGGCCCUAUGAUGUAUGCGCGGAGGCACCAGGACUAUGCCCAGCAAGCGGAACGUUCUCUUACCCGAUUACAACGACAGUUCCACCUUUUCCAGGAACAUAUAAUGCUGAUAUUGAGCUACGAGUCGCCCCCGACCGUGCAUCUGAUUUAAUUUACUGUGGAACAAUUACAAUUCGUAUUGUUUCAUAAAAUACAGAUAAAAAAAAUGAUUUAAAAAAUGGAUUUCAAAUUGCAAUGAUUAAAAAAAAAUAUUGAUAGCGCA